UCCUCCUGCUGGACUUAGCGGGAGCCAGCCGGUAGACUUUGCGUUUUUAAAUUUACUCGUGAUCCAAAGCGUGAGACACCCUGUAAACCUGGAUCUUACUCUCGCCCGGGUGCCCCUGCGUGCCACCUGCAUGAGUACAGCUAGAAAGGCUCAGAGCAGAGCCAGCGGCACUGAACGAGUCUGCUACUGUUCAAAUAAAUCUCAUAGCAAAGCAAGAAUGUAUCCUGUCUCCUCCUAAAGCAGGAUCAUUUGGGUUCUCGCAGAAAAUUUGGUUUCAGUGAAGUGGAGGCAAGUUGUGAAACUGUUCUCAUUGAAGUGUUCCAAAGAAAAAGAGGAAGGCUGAAGUGCCUUUUCAUCAUUAGGAGAAAUCAAAGUGGAGGGAUGGGCACAUGGACAUCUGGAUACCCAGCUAAUAUGGCAUCAAGAUGCAGCUGAAACUUACACGCAGACCUAAGUGUGACAGCCCUGCCUAACUAACUUUGAUGCUCCCAUGACCUGAGUCAACAAAUAGCUUUAAGAUGGAUACUCCUCUCACUAAUGGUUUUCUACUGAUUCAGAACCUGGAAUGCUACCUUCAGAUUCUGGAAGCUGGCAAAAUUCAUAACCUGGCAAAAGGGGAAAUAUUCACAUAACUCUCGGCAAGAGACCAAAUCAAACCAUUCUUGUUAAUUGCAGGGGAGUUCAUGAGGACGUGUCUCUGCACAAUGGAAACCAGACUCCUUACUGACGCAUUGAGGUCCUGCGCAUAUCUGUAAAAAGCUCUGUUUCCUCAGAAAUCACGCCUGCCUCAGGCAUAAUGUCUUGGGAGCUCUGGGGAACUUUAGAUCUCUGGUAAUUUUAUGCUUCUGCUGAUCUGAGCUACUGAGGAGGCUUUUGCAAACAUAACUUCAGAUGACACGCACACAGUAAAUCCCUUCGGAACCUGGCUGGGAACCGCAUAAAAGGACGUGUGUCAGCGAUGAUACAAGGAAAUCAGGUGGAAGUUGAAGAGCUAGGCUACUGUCUUCAGAGUCAGGGUGACUGAAAGGCCAGAGAAGAUGCUGCAGGAAGACUUUCAAGCAACAAUAAAUAUGGAAGUUGUUUCCAACUCAAUGCUUUAAAAGCUUUAAUGAAAAGGCCUUGAUAUGAUCAACUUUGGUAGAGGAAUAAAAGUAGUAUUUCCACAAUAAAUAUUUUAUUUUUUAUGGUACUUUCUCUGAAAACCACCAACGGGAAGUGGCAGGAUUUGAUGACAACAUAGAUUUAAAAAAUGGUAUGAACUUAUCUAAUGGCAGAAGAUGAUGACAGUUUUUGAAGAUUGCCGACCAGUCAAGAGCUACUGGAGCCAGAUUACAAACCUUCGUUGCUUUUACUCUGAAGCUUGAUUACUUAAUGAAAAGGUCUGUGUGAUACAGUAGUAUCUGACACACGGGAACAGCCUCAAAAGCCUUUGAAGUCCUUUCCCCUUAAAUGUGCUUUAGAAGGUAGAGUAACAUGUUAAAACAAGAUCUUUGUGGUAGCUCCACGACAUCUGCAGGAACCUGUCUGCCCAGGACCAUCUGGCUUUCAGUGCUCCCCCUCUGUGGCUGGUUUGAGAAUGUGGGACUGGUCUCCUGUUUGUGUGAUACUAGACACUUCUGCAGGCUGCAUGACUUGUAAACGCAAUAAAACGAUCGACUCAUGAUGGCCUAAUCCAUCUCCUACCAAGAAAACGGAAAGACUCUUAAAUCUUCUCAGGGGCUGAAACUGGAUGAAUUUAUGAACAAGUCACAGAAAGUACCAAGUAUGGUCAAUGUCUGCACCCUGCCUCGCUGGGCUUGGUACAGGAUGAGCAGAAAAAGGCAAAUAAAGAGCUCUCAUUUCUGUGGGUACCAACCUGUUAUUGAUGCGGAUUCAGAUUUGGUCCUGGAAAACUUUUUAUUUGGGAGCGUAAGAAAGAUGGAGGUGGCCCUAAUCAAUCCCUGACUUGACAGGUUUUUGAAGAAACUAAGAAAAUAAUAAUGUGACAUUUUGCACAAGCAUGAACUGGGGUCCAUACAGGUAAUGAAUAAUGAAUGAAGCUUGUUGUAAUGAAUGAAACCAGGUUAAAGACAAAGCUGUCCCUGAGUGUCUUCCUCCUAAGGUCAAGACUGGUGGGAAUAAGGGAAGCUAAUGAACUUAAUCCUCAAGCCAGCUGUUAUACUGUUAAACAGUAUUUCCAAAGGCUGUUUCAGAAAAUAUAAACACAUUAAAGAAUAGCCAGAAAUCUAAUCUGCUCAGCAAUCAGAUUUCUCAGUUGUGUGUUGAAGGCAUAGCAACCUAAAUUACCCUUGAAACGACUCUAUUUCAAGUCACACAUGUUUCUGAGCUAUAUUUUUAGAAGACUUCAUACUAGCAGUACAACAACUUAUUCCAGACAAGGACUUAGCUUGGGUUUAUGUUAACAUAUAAUUUGUAAAAGUUUGUAAUAAACAUCCCUCACUGAGACUGGCAGAAAUUAUAGGAAGGAAAACACCACUUCUAACUUUGGGCUACUUGCUUUGAUUCAGCCCUCAUUGUGUUACGUUUGUUAUGUGAGCUUCAAAACUGCAGAAAAGUGAUGAAUCGUUGUGUAACUAAGACCAGAAUUUCCAAAGCAGCCUCAUCUUUUUAGAAACUCUCUUUUGAUUAAGGAUUUUGCCUUCCAGUAUAAAUAUUCACCACAAGCCUGAUGCUUAGAUCAGAAAGUAUACUAACAGGCUUUCAUCCCGAUAGGAAGAAACGUGCAAUGCAUCAUUCAAGACCUUAGGCCCAAGCUGGCAUCCUGUUACACACCCACUGAUGAAUUUUAGGGUGUACAGAAAGUGCCAACUGAAGUCUUACAAAUAAACACUUAGUGAAUAUAUAAAUACAGUAAACAGGAAAGAAAAAUACCAGCAUGCAUCCUGGUGGUCAGUCAGAAAUGACUACUCUUCUCCAGCCAGUUUUUAUAUCCUUUAGGAUAAUAGGGCCAUCGUUAUUUUCCCAACACUUUUCAGCUUGUGGUAAGAGAUAGUUUUCCCUCUGUUAGUCACACAAACUAAAAGCAGAUCCGUAAUCUCAGUUUAGCUGCAUGUGGAAGCUGGUCUUGUUUGUAAAUGAUGAAAGGAAACCAGGCAGGAACCUAAUUUACCAAGUUUUUCUGCAGAAGCAUUCAGUUUCUCCAGGGUUUCACUUUCUUCCACACUGACCAGCUUCUCUGCACUGGAUAAAGUUUUUGAAUCCCUCAAAAUACCAGUUUAUCACUGGUACAAUUCAGGAGCUUAAAAAUUAAAGCAUGCAUCAAUGCCUUUGAAAGUAUGUUUUAGGAACUCCUGUGAUAUUGCACCUUGUGUGUGUGUUCGUUUUAUUAUCUAAAACAUGGUAGAUGGUUUGGUCAAAAUUGCUGGUGACACCGAGCAAGCUCAUAGCGGGAGAAUCCACUGCUCUGAAGAGCCAACAAUUUAAAUAAUCUAAAGCUAUGUUUCUUGUUCUUCCAAAAUAAAGCUUAAUCUAUUACUUAACUGCCCAGGAAGCUACUGUUCAAACGGUAAUAGACAACCUUGAAUUAAGUGGAAAAGAGAUGUUGGUAUAAAUUAAAUAAAUAUUUACUUAUAAUAAAGGGUGGCAUUUUAAUAAUUAGUGAGAAGUCUUGUGUUUAUAGAUUUUUUUUAUAACAUAGUAUGUAAGUAAUGAAAACAAAACAUUGAUUAUUCAAUACACAAAAGCCACUUUUAGAGGUGCAACAGAUGGAGAGUGCCAGAGCCAGAAGAGAGUAUUUUUAAAAAGCAGUGUGAUCGUGUAAUUAAAUUGAGUGGAUUAAGUAUGAGAAUUCACAAACAUUCAGGUGAGUUAGGUUCUGUUCUCACUGACAUUGGAGAAAUAAUGAAAUUUCUGUUUCCCUGCGUGUACACACUGUUUGGAAAACCAUUUAUUAAUGUUGAAAUUAAUAGCAGCACGACCAUGCGUUCAGCAAGCCCAAAACUGUAACAUGACUUGAAUGAUCAGUCACAAAUAACAAAGUGAUUAUGGGGGCAAACAGAACAGCAGAAGCUCUACUAAAAUGCUGAAAAUUUACAAGUGUUACCUCGUUAACGUUUGUCUCAUAGGCAAGACCAAACCAGUAACAUGGAAGUAUGGCAGGAAGGUGAGUGGGAAGAAAAGGGAACGACUGACUUUUUCAUAAUUAUAGUGCUCCACAAAGCUGGAUAUGGUUCCACCUCCUCCAAGUCAUUGUCUCAGAAGACUAUAUUCUCUCCUUAAAUAAAUAAAUUCAUUUUAAAAACCUCUAAGAAUCUCACCAAGGACUGUGUGCCUGUCUACAUAUAUGUGUGUUUGUAUAUGCCAAGCAAACUGAUGGUUCUUUGAGAUGUUUCAGCAUCCUUGAUGCUGGAUACUGCUUUGUUUUAAAUCAUCUCUACCAUAUUUUUUUCAAUCAGAUCAAGACGUUUAUUUUUAAAGAUGCUUUCUACUAAAUGGAUAGCCAGAGAAAGGCUACAUCACACGCAGAGCCAGCCAGCUCCUGCCUAAAAUGCACAGAGCACACGUUGCACUAGUCCUUGCUCUUUGAUGUAAUUCCUAUGGCUUACUAGAUACAGAAAAGUAGCUACCCGUAAUCAGACCUUAGGUGGAAAAGCUGAAACAGAUAAUUUGAUAAACUCAGGGAAAAUGAAGCGGCCAAGAAUCAUUAUAGCGUCUUUCCCAAUGAUAACAGUAGUUAGGCUUUCCAUUUGCCCAGAGGUACCAUACAUACCUGUUGAAGCCGCUCAUAUCUUCUGCAGGCACAUGGCUGCUUUGCUGAUUCCUGAAGUCCCACAGCCUCUCUGUUUACUGUUUUAUAGCGAGUUCUUUUUCUGUAUUAAGUUCACAUGUAAAUGGGGCAGCUUUCACGUAGUUUUGCAAGUAUGUGACCAGCCACGCUGUCUCAAAGAAACAGCCAGUUUUCUUGUUGGUUUAAAUUGCUGUAGGUCUUUAUUGGCUUGAAUAUCUUCCUCUUUACAAGCACCCUUCUGUCAAAGAAACUGAGGACAGCUUGCUUACUCCCCAGACAUCCUGCAAAGUCCUGUAUGAACUGGUCUCCUGCAGCCCACAGGUCUCACAGCAGCAGUUCAGUCAGGUGCUCACAUUCUACUCGGACCCCUGUGUUUCUCACGCUGAUGUUGAUGGUCUCUUUGGAGAACAAUAGCAGGGAGAAUGGAUGGCUCAAAACAUUAUUGCUAGGCUUCUGAAGGCUUUGCUGUUGGUUUUGUAGAGUCAUGAGGGUAUUAACAAUGCACUCCCUACUACUGCUAAUUCACCUUGUGGCUGAAACCCACAGCUGACGUUGAAGAGUUCAGCCCUCUAUUUAGCUAAUUUGGUCCAAGCCAGGCUGGUGGCAACUGAAAGCUAUGCACAGCUGAUAGCUAUAUCCAGUGGUCAUUUGUGAAAAUUGCUUUAGUGGCCUCCGUCCAAGUUUUACCGACAAAACAUCAGUUUCUCAAAAUAUUUUCUCCAAAAUAGCUGCUUGCCAAAAUUUUGGGGGCAACCAAGGGUUUAAAGACAAGAAAGGUGAACUUGUGUCUUCCCUAGAAGUAUUCUUUGUAUGCCAGCAAUGAAGUGCCCAGGGGCACUUUUGUGUUAAGCACCACCCAGGUUGUCAAUACAGAACUUCUGUCCACAGAAAUACCAAAUCGAGUUGAUACGGGUUUCCCACUCAUCCAAAACCACUUUCCCACCAGGCAGAAGAGAUCACAAAAUUAAACAGCAUUCCCUCCUUCUCACAUCUCUGCAGUUUGUAAGCACUGUGCCUGUCAUAAUUUUCCCAGGAGGUUUCCUUAACCAUAAUGUCUCAUCCCUGCAAGCAGCUGCUUCCUUUUUGCAUGAGAGAUCUUGGAGACUUGCCUCACUUAUCAAAACUAAACCACUGAAAAGCUAGUAAAUAACUAAGCUCUAUGGGGAAGACGAAAUCCCACUGUAGAUGGACAGAUUUGCUUAGCCUAUAAAAUAAUUCUGGAGCAAGUAUUGUUUUGGAAAAAUUCUAAAAUGUAUCAAAGUUUGAUCGUUCUUGGCUUGUCCUAAUUUGCUUACUCUGGGGUUAUAGCUGACCCUCAGUAUGCACGUUCGUCCCAUUACUGUUAACAGGAGUUAAAUAUAUACACAUAUCUAAGAGAGACUUGACCAUUUACUCUCAGUGUUCCAAGGUCAGCUGAAGUCUGGACCUUUUACUUUCUCUAUGCUCCACUAAUUAAGAACAAAGCUUAUGCAAGACCUCCUCGGGGAACAUGGGCUCGGAGGUUUUUACAGUCCACAAGGCUAAAAUUCAGAUGUGAACCACAGCUGUUUGGACAGGAGUCUUGGACCUCUUUGUUUUGAACUAUAGUGACCUGCUCAGCCUUACCAACACGUGAAACUGAAAUCCCCACACAGCUAAUGAGUGGGAUGUGAAAACUGCCUGGCAGGCAGAACUCGGUAAAGUGACCGAUUUAUAGUGCUCUGGGAUUUGCAGGUGGAAGGGCUGUCUUUUCUCUUCAUCUCUCCCCCUCACUCCCUCAUGUUUCAAUACACAUCAUUUCAUCCGCAUACAUCUAUGCGUAUGUGUAGAUCUGAAUCUAUGUUCGCCAUCCAACCAGCUGACCCAAUGUUCUUGUUGCAGAUGGUCAGGUUCCUCCCUUCUGCCAAGUACAGGUAUUUUUAUGAAUCCCUGGUAAGAGGUAAAAUAAAAAGGGAAACAGAGUGUGGGAUAAACCAGUCAUUCAAUCUAAGUAAUGAUAGACCUCCAGUGCCCCAACACUUUUACAUACAUUCUAUACACCCAUGGUAGUGCAUAUAUUUUGAACUAUAUAAUACAUAUAAAAGUGUCAGCUGAACCUUCCCUUUGAUUUAAUUGCAAUUACACAAAUAUUCAGAAUAUCAGCAAUGAGUAAUUUUGCAGAACUGGGACACGAUAUGCUGUAUAAUAGUUAAGCUAUUUGAAUGGACUGGCAGUCCACCUUCCAGUGGCCAUUGUGGCUUGGAUCAGGUGAUGAUCUCAGUGGAGGCCGCUUGGCUGAUACUGUGUUUUUCUUGAAGUCAAUGAUAGCUUGUCUUAUACCCCCUUAUAUUUAGAAUCCAAUUCCAUUACCUUCUUUGCGAAGACUGUAGGUAUUCUAUAUAUUAAUGGCUGAUUGCAGCAAGAAAAAACAUAUCUUGAUCUGAUCAGAGCAUCUGACCUUUCACAUUCAUUGCAAACCACGUCAAAUACUACGGAAAGACUGCAGAAAAAAUGCAAUUCUUUAUGUAGUGAUAUAAUGAAUAUCUUUGUGUAUCCAAGAUAAUAGGAAUUCCAGCAUUCGUGCUUACUGUAAAAUAUAGCAAGCAAAGGCUAAGUAAAUUCUGUUUUAAUACGGAAAUAAUUUUGACUGCAUCUUUGGCUUUGUAUGACAUGGAAACUGGUGAUUGUUUAUGCUUUGCUACUUUUUUUGGUCUGUGUUAAGAUCCCACAUGAGAAACAAAUUUUUCUCUAGGAACAAAAUGUUACUUUUUUGGGACUGAGUUCUAAUUAGUUGGGUAGUACGUCUGUUUCUUUUCAGUUGGGAAAACGCAAUGCAUAUAAAAUCCAGAUGGAUAGCACAUGAUGCUGGAACCAGUCCCAGCCAAUCAGCCACAUCACUUGAUUAAAAGAAACCUAUAAGAAUUUAAGUAAAAAACCAAACCCAACAAGAUAGCAAGAGCAGCAAACUGGCUGCACUAUGGGAUUUCAUCAAAGCUCACAGAGUGCUUCUCUUUUGCUGGUUAGCCUCCCCACACCUUACUGAAAGUUAACCUGCAGUUGUAUUCAAUUUAAACUUGUGUAGGAUUUGUGACUAAGACCCUGAAUACCAAUGGUGCAAGACAUUUGGUAAGUGGGAUGGGGAGGAAAUUCAUCACCAGACUACAUCAGGCCACAAGGACAACAGCUUUAAGGCAACGGGCUCUUUGAAGGAACUCAGCUGAGAGAAACGCAACAGAAAUCCACCCCGGCACAAACCGUAAUAUUGCACAGCAAUUCUUUUUUGUAUGGAUUUUGUCUGUGACUGAACAGUCUUUCAGAGAGCAAGCAAGCACUGCUCACAGCCUCACUGUGUGCAAAACCUCCUGGGGUUUCACCAGGUCGAAGGGUGAGAUUUUUGGAGGGGUCUAACGUGGGUUCUGAAGAAGUUUGAAGGAGAGGCAGGCAGGCCUGGUGGAGGGAUGGAGAGGCAUCUGGAAUCCCUACAGGCAACUGCAGGAAUGUUUAUUAUUCUUUGUUUAUUAUUUUGAGUGUGUGCUCUCUUCCUCUCUUUGUCUCCCUUUGUUAUUUGUGUAAUAAAAUUCCUCUAGGCAUAUAAAGUCAGUCAUCUGGAAUUGUGCAACUCUUUCUGCCAGGAAGCUGGAGAAGCCCCUCUCCUGUGCAGAGAGAAAAGUACAAGCUCAUCUCAGCGACUGGGAAAUUACAGAAAUACAGAAUACAGUUUGUCUUCAGGUUACAUUUAUAUAGCAAAGAGCUGUGGCAAAUAAUUGUGCGCCUUGCUGUUAAACGUUCUGUUUCAUCCUGUCCAAGGCGGUAUGUUUAUAUAAAGCUUGAGAAAUAAUUUGUACAUUUUAAAAUAAAGCAUGCAAAAUACGUUAAAAAGGCGCGGUGUUAAAAUUGCCAGUGGGUGCAGAGAAGGAAAAAAAAAAAAAUAAGUAGAGAGGAGCAUCUUUACAGCCACAUGGCUAGUGAAAUUUUCUAUUUAUUCUUUGGGGAAAAGGCAAAGCAGCUGCCCAGCUGCUGGUUGGAUAGGUGCCGGUACUAUUUUUAUUGGCAGGCAACUCUGAGUGGCUGAAAGGUGGUCAUUAACACCCUGACACAAAGUGCUGACAGGGCGAUUAUAAGAUUAACACCCUAUGUUAUAUUAACAGUGUCAAAACCUCCCCUUACCUGUCAGUGAGAAAUAAUGGCAUGAAGGAAAACAUUAUAGACAUACUGAGAUUUUAACAUUAAAAUGCCACACAGCUACUAACUUUUCCAAUUUGGUCUAAGUAUCUAGAUGACCUCCUACAGGCCAAUCUUAAAUUAUAGUUUCACAGAAUAAAAAAAUGAACACAACAGCUAAACUACAAGUUUUGUUUUUCUCUCUUGAUGGCUUUUAGACUUGAUCUGCCUGGAAGUGGGUCUUUCACAGCUGUUGCUACUAGACUUUUGGUUUGAGGUCUUGGAAGCUCAGGGGUUUAGGACUUAGGACUUGAUAAAUUUGACAAACAGAACUUUUCUAGAGAAACAUAUUGCUGAUAUGCAAGGCAAAAUUUGGGUAGGAUCUUCCCACGGGUUGACUAGUUAUCCCAGACAGCACUAGAACGUGACAGCCUUGGGACCCGAAGGAGACGUCUGCAUUUGAAAGUGUUUCUGCUCCCUGGUCACAGGAACGGGAAGGGCAAACCCUCUAGCACGGCUUCAGCUAACCUGGUUUAUACUGCUCAGGCUUCUGUCAGUUUGAUUAAAUAAAAUAAGCCGGGGCAGCAAGUUCUUCCUCUAGCGCUAGACCUAUGCCUUCGUUGGUAAAAAAAUAUUUCAUUGUGUUCCUGAAUUGUACUACCAUUUCAAUCUUUAAGAACUAAAAUGACGUUAUGCUUUAGCACCUGGGAAAAGGAAGGGGGAAAAAAGAAGGGGGGAGGGGAAGAGGUCCAACUACAUACAGAGCCUUUCCAGAGCUUUCUAAAGCCUGCUAGAGGAGUGCCCCGGCGCUCAUUUUGGCCCUGCAUAAACCGCACAUUUCCAGCAGUGGUGGAAUGGCCACUCUGGAGCUGGCAACGCUGUGGAUGGCAGAGCUGUCCCAGAGGCUGUGCCUGCAGGGGCCCCCAGGCCUCCCGCCCCCUCUGCCAGCAAGAUUUGGGCUCCACGAGCUCUGCCAAAAUUCCCCAUACCCGCUCCAAUAGGCUUGGCCACUCACCUGCCUGUUUUUAUUCCACAAAUGUCCCCCUUGCAGCGUAUGUGCGCUGUGCCGUCAGUGAUGUGCCGUGUGAUUCCUUUAGCUUCGGGUCUCCAGGGUGCUUACCUUCCUAUUGCCCAGGUUUUGCAAGCUCACACAUUCUUUCUAUAUAGUUUUCUUAUUACAUGUUAUAUUGUAUAUAAUGAUAGUAUAUUCUAUAUGCUAUGUAUGUCUGUAAGAGCUACAGAUAGAACGCAUAAUAUGUAUUCUUUAUGUACACCUCCGUUUCUAAACAAGAUCAAGAUACAGUGAAAGCACCCAAAACACCAGGAAGGGUUUACGUGUUGCAUAAGAAAAGUUCAGUAGUUUUUAAUCAAGAUUUUUGGGAUUUUCAGAGAGUUGCAAUGCCAUCAUAUCAUGAUAGCUUAAAGUCUAUUGAAAUCCCUUAACAAAGUGUAUGUAGUUAACUUAGGACUUGUUACAAAUUACUAAAGCGCCAUCCGAAAAGUUCAAAUGUCUCGGAAACAGAUCCAACAGAAACAUUUAAUAACUAAACAAGAAUAAAGGAUGGAUUUAUGACUGCUGUUUAGUUUGGGGUCUGUUGGAAGUCAAUGCAAAAAAUUCACAAACGCUUUCAGACCUUCUGUUAAACGAACACUGCCUGCAGAAAACUGAGUAUUUAUUACGGCAACUGAUGUGAAUUGCCAAAGGUAGGGAGUUUCCAAUAAAUAGGACUCCAGUUUUAAGAACAACCUGUUAAAGUAUUUGUAUGUGUCAUUUUAUUACAGCAUCUGCUUUAGCUGAAACCAAGGUCUCCAGGGCAAUUCUGAACUUUCAAGUCAUCUAUAGAAUCAAAUGUUUUCAUCUACAUAUCUUUUUUACUUCAAAAAAAUGAAAAAUAUUACAUAAUUCAGAGAAAAUUAUGUUUGAUCAUGUUUCAUUGAUGAUAUUCAUGCAGUUUUCCAUGCUGACAAGAGUCUCAGAAUAUUUUCUGAAAUGUUAGAAAUGCCUUUAGAGAUUUUUGGCAUUUCACAAAAUCUGAGUAAUUUUUCAAAACAAGGAACAGUCUAGAAACACUGCCAAGUUAGUUGGGUACUGAGUGGUCUAAUUUAUAAUGAGAUCAGGUGGCCACUGAAAAGACACUCAAGUGAUGAGAUCUUGCACACAUUACAGUUUCCUGGGAAUUCAAGCAGUAUAGAAAGGCUUUGCUUACCAAACGAAUGGCAUAUUGCUCUCCGUUGACUUUAGCUGCAGAAUGUUUAACUACACUGGUUUAGCUGUUCAGCAAAGGUGUAUUUCACUCUGCUUUACUUUGCUUUUAGUAACAGCUCUGAGUUACUUUGUGGGAACCCUGUGUCCUGUUUAUCUCUCUCUGGAAGUAAGCAAAACUCCCGGUUUCAUAGGAAAGGGAAGAUCGGGCAUCUGUCCUGUCCAAAGAGCCUCUCUCUCUGCUGGGUGAGAAAGAGAUGAGCUCUUCGAGCAUUGCUUCUGCUGGGAAGUAUUAAGAGGGAGUUAUGGGCUUGGUAGGGCUAAAAUCAGCGAUCAGUACGUGCCACAGAUUUGUGGCUCUGAGCACUGAACGGGAGCAGAGCAACAGGCUGUGUCUGCUAAUCCUUAUCCCUUUCUUUCUGCACAUCUUCUGUGUGACAAAGAGGGAUCACGGGUCACAUUCGGCCCCAGCCCCAGCCCUUCUUUCACAGUUGUGAAUCAAGACACACUUUGGCAAAGCCGGGGUGGCAGUCACCAAAAAAAAAAAGCCACAGCACAAUGAAAGCCACCAAAUAGUUAAUAAACUAUGAAAUCAUGUGUAGUAGACAUGAGAGUGGGAGGAGAACUACCCAAGACCUUAUUUACAAAGGAGUAAAGACAUAAAAGAUGACCUUCUGUGACCACUAAAGGAAUAACUUCAUCAGGACAUAAUUGUGCCAGAACAUGACCAGACGCUUGCAUGUCAAUCACGCUGAAGUGCCGGAUACAGUAGUCAUUUGCAAGAGGUUUUGAAUGAAGGAGGUGGAUCAACUUCAAUUUUUGCUCUUUCCAUUUUUUAAGCGCAUAAACAGAAUGCUCCUGCUGUCCGUUUUAUACUAUAAAGAAAACCCUUUACACCUAUCAGUGACACCAUGGUGAACUGCAACAGCAACACAAAAGCAAAAGAAUUCCUGCUUAGACUACUGCAGCUUGGAGAUGAGUCAAAACUGGAUAAAGUAUUGAACGGUGACUACUGUCAGCAGCUGACUUCUGCCAAAAGCAACCUUCACAGAUCCAGAGUGGGAAGUUUACAUCAUCAAAAACAUCCCACAAGCAUAAUGGAUGCAAUUCAAGCACUACCCGCAGGACUGCUUGGUGGCACAGAACUACUGACACCCACCACAUCGUAUCAACACAGAAUAGCUACACAGACACACGUCCUGAAGACUUUCCCAUCCCCUCUCUGCAAGCUGAAGUCUAGGUUGUAUAGCAGGCAAAAUACUUCCAUACUUGAGGAAAGGAACAAAAAGUGAAGUGCCUAUGGUACCUCUGUUGGCUUCUUUACUAUUGUGGCUAUUUGUUUAUUAUCGUUUGUCAAGAUUUACGGCUGUUUAGAACAAAACAAGCACUGGUUUUGAAAGGUGGCUUAAUGAAAGGAACAAGUUUCAACUUUGUUCCCUGCUUUCAUACAAUCAGAGGUUAUGUUUAUUUAGAAAGCUAACAUUUAUACAGAUUAUGCACUCUCAGUGGUUCUAUGCCAAAAAACACAUAAGUAAAAUGGGUCUUUCCAUCACUCUCUCAGUUUUGACCUAUGAUUGUUUUUGCAGGAACUGGAUCUUUUAAGCAAUAGCCUCUGGUAGAGCAAGAGGAAAGCAUGGCACCUUGUGCAAUAAUUCGCAAACCACUGCUUGAGCAAAAGGAUACACAAAAUGUACUUGAAUCACUCAGCUGUCCAGACUACUCCAAACGCUAUUUGAUUAGGAUAAUUGCCAGUGAGAGUGGGAAAGGUCAUCAAGCAAAGCUAGAUGAUGGAGGAAGGUCACCAGUUUAAAGUCAAAUUUUUACAUAAUGUGAGACUUUGGAUUGAUUAAGCCAUCCAACAAAAUUUCCAAAGUAUUAAAAAGAGUAAAAUGAGAAUGAAUAGAUGGCAAAUUGACCUGGAAAAGUCACUGAAUAAUUAUACAAGUUGUAAAUUUGCUUUUGUUGUACGUGCUCCUCAUUACCCUGCUAUUGAAAAUGUUUGAAAUAUUGCUAUUUUUUAAAUGAGCAGGGUCUUAAGAAAGAAAUGUUUGUCUCACGUUUGUAUGCAAGUGUAUAUUUUAAAGUCUUUUUAAAAAUUGACUCACAGCAAAAAUGGAAAAUUAUUAUGCUCAGAAGGAUCUACCUGGUCGCUUUCCUGCUAUUAACAGAUUGUCUUUCAGAGGAAAUACCCAGCCUGGCAAACGCCACUUAUCAUUCAGUGAGUAUAUAUGAUACAGAGAGGCAUGUGAUUAGAGAGUGCUUCAAAACUCUGAUUUUAAUCAGUUGAAUAUCUUUCAUAGGAGACAAUGGUUUUCCUAUGGAACCAUUCUACAAAUUGAAAAUAUAUAUAUAUAUAAAAAAGUCAUUCUGCUUUCCAAUAUUUUUCCAGCUGAAAAAGUGACAAAGCUUAAGGAUGUGAUUCCGCUCCCUCCCCUCCCCAUAUUGUCUCGCUUUCUAAAAGUUUUCCAACUGGCAAAACAGUCGGUGUUACUUUGUGUUCUUUCCUGCCUUUAGAAAGAAAAUAAGUUUAAAGUACAGGAAAGCCCUGUUUGAAAACAGUGCUGGUAUUUCUCCGUUUUGAACUAUUUUUGGCAAAAAGAGUAGCAUCAAAUUAUUUUUUCUUUUCACAACUAUGAAAUGAAAAAACUCACUAGUUCAGAAAACAUGCCUCUCUGUAACAUCUUCCCCAACUUCCCAGAAGCAUAUUUUUAACUUGCAGUUAUUUUUCACUUGCCUUUAUGCAGCACUUGAGACUGCUCAACUAUGAGCAGUUGAGAGUCGGAGUCUCUCAACAGAUUUUUUGGGUAUUUUCCUUUAAAUAGAGAUCUGUAGGCUGAUUUGCAUCAGCAAAGCGUUCAUUAAAAAGGAUUAAGCAUGGUUAAGUGCCACAGCCCCAUGAAAGAAAGCGAGGCUAAAAACCACGCACCUUGUCUCCAUUGACAGUGUCAACCCAAGCAUCCUAAUUUGUCCCAUAUAUCAGGAAACCUAAAACUUUUAUAAUGUAGCCCAAAUUACUACUUCAGCAGGUGAGUAAAUAAUCACUGUUGACUUCUCCCCUGCACAACAUUUACUUCAGGGUUAUGCGUUGGUGGCAUAAAAUGGUCUGUAAUUGGGGGUCAGGAGGGCGAGGGGUGGCCAGUCAGCUUUUCCUCCUGCUCAGCCAUUCCUGCCUUUCCCCUAUUCCUUCCCAAAGCAAGAUUUAAGCAGCUAACUCACUUUGUUUUGGCCCUGGAUGGAAGGGGGUGUAUGUGGUGGAUGACCCAGGGCUUCUUUCAGCAGCUGCAGGCACGUAACUCCCUUAGCACGGGGUUUGGGACCACGGGUGGGGGCAGACGUGCCUUAGCCCUGCUUGGGGAAGCCUCACAGUGUGGAGAAGCACCCCCAGACCCAAACUAGUGGAAGAAAAACUUGACCUGGAAAGACAGCAGGGAUUCCUUUCAUCUCCCGUGAUUGCAUUUUCAUUGAGGGUGAGGUAGUUGGGCUCCUUUCUGUCAAUAGCUGCUCCCUAUUUCAGAGACGGAGCUAAAAGCUGCUAAGUGACAGCAGGAUCCAGAGGCGGGUGAACCUGCUCUGCAUCUUCCCAGAACAUGCACAGCUGCCUCAAAGUGAAGAAAAUGUUGCAAUUUAAUUUAUUUGCUGAGCUGCCCCAUUUCAUCGGGCAGGGUUACCCCUUUCCACCGUGUCAUGUAAGUGCUGCAAUUAACUGGCGUGCUGCUACAAAUAAAGAUUUCUCUUCAAACAAAGGAGAGGAGGUUUCUGACUUUCAAUAUAUUUUUGAUCACCUGCAAUCCUACAAAGUUUACUGAAGCUGUUGUAGAGUUCAGCAGCCUUUCAUCCUGUAAUUACAUGUUGUGUCUCAAGAAUUAUAUUAAAGCUGGGGAUGGAAGAUUCUCAGAAGACUUAACAAAUAACUGAAAUGCAUAAGACUCUCUUUAUUCAAAAAAUCUGCCUGGAAAGCUCAUAAGAAAAGGCUUUCCUGCAAGAUUUUCUAUACUUCCUACUUGAAGGCAGGCUGGAAAUCUGAGAAGAGCCUUUCUGUUCCAGCUAAAGUAGGUAGGUGCCAGGGUUUUAGGAGACUGAAGGAGAGGCAAGGGGAGGAAAAUGGAGAUACACCUUUUUCUUCAGAAAUUCAGGUUCAUCUUGAGUUUUUGUUAAAAGUUAAGAUUCACUUUCAUUUUGUCUGAAAAAAAUUUCUUCGCUUUUAUUUUGUCUAAACCAUCUGGCUGAAGUACAGCAUGGGCUGGGCUUGCCUGAGAAGUCACAUUGAAUUAAUAAGUCUAUUCACUAAGCAUAAGUUGAAGCCUGUUUGUAAACCCCUGCAAGAGCUAAUCUGCUCUGUGCACCUCUUGCCAAGGCACACGGGAACCUCUCCUGCACUGCACGGAAGACCAGCUCAGCCCACAUUAUCUGAGAUGUGCUUGCACUGGGCUUGACCCAAGUCCAAAGCUGAGCUGUACUUCCAGGAUGGCCUUUGGUCCAGGAACAUCAGUCAAUACGAACUUUUUUUGAUGUGUGAUGCUACUUUUUCCAAAAGAACAAAAGAACUCUGCUUGUGUUAUUUAAGACAGCUGUGGUUCAGUUUUUAAGGUACUGACAUAGGCUCCAUAACUGAUAACCACUCGACAGCUUGGAAACUAUGACUUGAAAUUGGCUAGUUCUUGAAUGGGAGGGAGAUCACCUGAGACCUUAAGCAGAAAUUAUGGCAUGAAAGGCAAAGCGUCUGGCAAAUCCUUUACUGUGUUUUCAUCUCUGCGGAGGAAUACACUAUAGAGAGGUGGGCAAAAUGUGCUUAGGUACCUGUGAUACAGAGUAAGACUCCUCCAGAGCAGUAGAUGUGCAGCCACAAGUACAGUUUGAGUAA